GUCUUAAAGAAAUUAAUUUUAAGUCUAAUCUGCCCAAUGAAAUUUAUUAAAUGGCUGCAGAAUAAAUAACUGUACAAAGGUAGCAUAAUAAUUUGUUUUUUAAUUAAAAACUUGAAUGAACGAUUUAAUGAAAUAUAAACUUUAUAAAUUAAAUAUAAAUUAAAUUUAUUAUUUAAGUAAAAAAACUUAAAUAAUUAUAAAAGACGACAAGACCCUAUAGAAUUUUAUUUAUAAAAAAAAUAUAUUAAAAAUUAUGUUAAAAAAUUUUUUUAAUAAAUUUAAUUGGGGUAAUUAAAAAAUUAAAAAAAUUUUUUUAAAAUUAAACAAUUAUUUUUGAUUAAAAUAUCUUAAAUUUUAAAUUAUUAAAAUUAAUUACCUUAGGGAUAACAGCAUAAUUUUUUUUAAAAGAUCUUAUUAAUAAAAAAGAUUA
rnacentral:rRNA from 1 species